rnacentral:hammerhead_ribozyme from 1 species
GUCCAGAUGAUGAGUACCAAAUGGGACGAAAUGUGCAUCCUGGAU